rnacentral:rRNA from 1 species
UACGGGGGGGGCAAGCGUUGUUCGGAAUUACUGGGCGUAAAGGGCUCGUAGGUGGCCAACUAAGUCAGACGUGAAAUCCCUCAGCUUAACUGGGGAACUGCGUCUGAUACUGGAUGGCUUGAGUGUGGGAGAGGGAUGCGGAAUUCCAGGUGUAGCGGUGAAAUGCGUAGAUAUCUGGAGGAACACCGGUGGCGAAGGCGGCAUCCUGGACCAUUACUGACACUGAAUAGCGAAAGCCAGGGGAGCAAACGGG